rnacentral:rRNA from 1 species
UACGGGGGGGGGCAAGCGUUGUUCAGAAUUACUGGGCGUAAAGGGCUCGUAGGCGGCCAACUAAGUCAGACGUGAAAUCCCCAGGCUCAACCUGGGAACUGCGUCUGAUACUGGAUGGCUUGAAUUCGGGAGAGGGAUGCAGAAUUCCAGGUGUAGCGGUGAAAUGCGUAGAUAUCUGGAGGAAUACCGGUGGCGAAGGCGGCAUCCUGGACCGACAUUGACGCUGAGGAGCGAAAGCUAGGGGAGCAAACGGG